AAUGAACGCUGGCGGCAUGCCUAACACAUGCAAGUCGAACGAAGGCUUCGGCCUUAGUGGCGCACGGGUGCGUAACGCGUGGGAAUCUGCCCUUGGGUUCGGAAUAACAGUUAGAAAUGACUGCUAAUACCGGAUGAUGUCGUAAGACCAAAGAUUUAUCGCCCAAGGAUGAGCCCGCGUAGGAUUAGCUAGUUGGUGGGGUAAAGGCCUACCAAGGCGACGAUCCUUAGCUGGUCUGAGAGGAUGAUCAGCCACACUGGGACUGAGACACGGCCCAGACUCCUACGGGAGGCAGCAGUGGGGAAUAUUGGACAAUGGGCGAAAGCCUGAUCCAGCAAUGCCGCGUGAGUGAUGAUGGCCUUAGGGUUGUAAAGCUCUUUUACCCGGGAUGAUAAUGACAGUACCGGGAGAAUAAGCUCCGGCUAACUUCGUG
rnacentral:rRNA from 1 species